GCUGGGCGUGGUGGCGCAUGCCUGUAAUCCCAGCUACUCAGGAGGCUGAGGCAGGAGAAUUGCUUGAACCCAGGGGGCGGAGGUUGCAGUGAGCUGAGAUCAUGCCACUGCACUGCAGCCUGGUCAACAGAGCAAGACUCUGUCUCAA
rnacentral:SRP_RNA from 1 species